GACGAACGCUGACGGCGUGCCUAAUACUUGCAAGUCGAGCGGACCACUUCGGUGGUCAGCGGCGGACGGGUGAGUAACACGUGGGCAACCUGCCUGUAAGACUGGGAUAACACCGGGAAACCGGUGCUAACACCGGAUAAUCCUUUCCUUCACAUGAGGGAAAGCUGAAAGACGGUUUCGGCUGUCACUUACAGAUGGGCCCGCGGCGCAUUAGCUAGUUGGUGAGGUAACGGCUCACCAAGGCAACGAUGCGUAGCCGACCUGAGAGGGUGAUCGGCCACACUGGGACUGAGACACGGCCCAGACUCCUACGGGAGGCAGCAGUAGGGAAUCUUCCGCAAUGGACGAAAGUCUGACGGAGCAACGCCGCGUGAGCGAUGAAGGCCUUCGGGUCGUAAAGCUCUGUUGUCAGGGAAGAACAAGUACCGGAGUAACUGCCGGUACCUUGACGGUACCUGACCAGAAAGCCACGGCUAACUACGUGCCAGCCGCCGCCGUAAUAC
rnacentral:rRNA from 1 species